rnacentral:rRNA from 1 species
ACUCCUACGGGAGGCAGCAGUGGGGAAUAUUGCACAAUGGGGGAAACCCUGAUGCAGCCAUGCCGCGUGUGUGAAGAAGGCCUUCGGGUUGUAAAGCACUUUCAGUAGGGAGGAAGGUAGUGUAGUUAACACCUGCAUUAUUUGACGUUACCUACAGAAGAAGCACCGGCUAACUCAGUGCCAGCAGCCGCGGUAAUACGGAGGGUGCGAGCGUUAAUCGGAAUUACUGGGCGUAAAGCGCAUGCAGGCGGCCUGUUAAGUCAGAUGUGAAAGCCCGGGGCUUAACCUCGGAAUUGCAUUUGAAACUGGCAGGCUAGAGUCUUGUAGAGGGGUUAGAAUUUCAGGUGUAGCGGUGAAAUGCGUAGAGAUCUGAAGGAAUACCAGUGGCGAAGGCGGCCCCUGGACAAGACUGACGCUCAGAUGCGAAAGCGUGGGAGCAAACAGGAUUAGAUACCCCUGGUAGACUGUCA